GCUUGCGCAACAACUUCCACMUGACUUACCUCUUCAGUUAUCUGUCUAGACUUCUAUUGCCUAGGCGGAAUGUGGGUUUCCUGUGUUGCCUACCUAACUAAUGGUAUUGUCCUGAUCGAUGAUUUGUCCCUUUUCAUCUUGUGUCAUGCUCAUGACAUUUGAUGAACCUUACAGUUGUCUCUUUGGACCAAACCAUUGGUUGUCGAUGUUGUGGAACAUUGAGCAUUGCUUGGUUUCUUGAAUACAGAACAUCAUGUUGGCAUUGGGUCUCUUGAGAUCCUUGUUUUGCCCUCAUUUAGCGUUCUCGCUUCUCUUAAAAUGACUUCCUGACACGAAAUUGGCUCGUUACCAGCGUGGCAGGUUUAGUCAAAGAGGAAUGC
rnacentral:misc_RNA from 1 species